UACGGAGGGUGCGAGCGUUGUCCGGAAUCAUUGGGCGUAAAGGGCGCGUAGGUGGCCUGCUAAGCGUGCGGUGAAAGCUCGGGGCUCAACCCCGAGUCGGCCGUGCGAACUGGUGGGCUUGAGCACUGUAGAGGCAGGCGGAAUUCCGGGUGUAGCGGUGGAAUGCGUAGAUAUCCGGAGGAACACCGGUGGCGAAGGCGGCUUCCUGGACCGACACUGACGCUGAGGCGCGAAAGCUAGGGGAGCAAACAGG
rnacentral:rRNA from 1 species